rnacentral:tRNA from 1 species
GGAGAGUUGUCCGAGUUGGUCGAAGGGGCAUGACUGGAAAUCAUGUGUACUCGUAAGGGUACCUAGGGUUCGAAUCCCUAACUCUCCGCCA